AUGAAAGACCUUGGUGUGGCUGAUGUUAUCUUGAACAUCAAGCUACUGAGAGAUAAUGAGGGUGGGAUCACACUUCUGCAAUCCCAUUAUGUUGAGAAGGUGUUGAGUCAUUUUGGAUAUUCGGACUGCACACCAUCUCAAACACCAUAUGAUCCUAGCCUGAGCCGGUUUGUUUCCAAACCGGGUGAUGUACAUUGGCAUGCUGUUGAGAGAGUUAUGCGCUAUCUGAAAGGUACUAUGAACUAUGGACUUCACUAUACCGGAUACCCGUCGGUACUUGAAGGGUAUAGUGAUGCGAAUUGGAUCUCUGAUGCUGAUGAGAUGAAGGCCACAACUGGGUAUAUGUUUACUCUUGGAGGUGGCGCUGUUUCCUGGAAGUCUUGCAAGCAAACGAUCUUAACGAGAUCGACAAUGGAAGCAGAAUUAAUGGCAUUAGACACAUCUGGUGUUGAAGCGAGAUGGCUUCGAGAUCUUUUGAUGGACUUGCCAUUGGUUGAUAAACCGGUUCCGGCUAUCCUUAUGAACUGUGACAAUCAGACUGUCAUCACCAAGGUGAAGAGUUCAAAGGACAACAUGAAGUCCACCAAACACAUAAGAAUGAGAUUAAAAGCUGUCAGAAAAUUAAGAAACUCCGGAGUGAUAGCGUUGGACUAUGUCCAUACGGCUAAGAAUCUGGCAGAUCCCUUUACAAAAGGGCUAUCACGUGUUGUGAUAGAUAAUGCAUCGAGGGAGAUGGGUAUGAGACCCACAUGA
rnacentral:rRNA from 1 species